rnacentral:rRNA from 1 species
UACGAAGGGGGCUAGCGUUGUUCGGAAUCACUGGGCGUAAAGCGCACGCAGGCGGAUCGUUAAGUCAGGGGUGAAAUGCCGAGGCUCAACCUCGGAACUGCCUUUGAUACUGGCGAUCUUAGAGUCCGGGAGAGGUGAGUGGAACUCCGAGUGUAGAGGUGAAAUUCGUAGAUAUUCGGAAGAACACCAGUGGCGAAGGCGGCUGACUGGGCCAUUACUGACGCUGAGGCGCGAAAGCGUGGGGAGCAAACAGG